rnacentral:rRNA from 1 species
ACGGGGGGUGCAAGCGUUAAUCGGAUUUACUGGGCGUAAAGAGCACGUAGGCGGUUGAUUAAGUUGGAUGUGAAAGCCCAGGGCUUAACCUUGGAACUGCAUUCAAAACUGGUCAACUCGAGUAAGGGAGAGGAGAGUGGAAUUUCCAGUGUAGCGGUGAAAUGCAUAGAUAUUGGAAGGAACACCAGUGGCGAAGGCGACUCUCUGGCCUAUUACUGACGCUGAGGUGCGAAAGCGUGGGGAGCAAACAGG